UCCUGUUACCCCGCAGAGGUGGACCCCAGGGAGGCAGGGGUGAGGACCCAGGUCUUGGAGAGGACCAGACACGGUGGCUCUUAAGUGGAGGCACCCCAGACUUCUUUCUUUUUGCUAGUUGGUCUUGGCACUUCCACUCGGCUUCAGGGGAUGUCAGGCUGGAUUUAGAACAAACCCACAGGCUCACAAGGCGUCCUCGGCGCCACCUUGGAGACCGCCAGCCCCAGAUACCACAUUUGUUCCUGAAACAGACCAAACAGGAGCUCAUGAGGACUCACAUCCCCGCAACUCUGGCCAAAGUCGUCCCUUCCAAAGACCCCCUCCAGUUAGCCUUCCCGCCGUGAAACACACAGGAACCCUGGAGGCUGCCUGAACAGCUCAGACAAAUGAACAGAGGACUGAGAGCGAGGAAGUACUGCGGAAUUGUUCACUUUUGCUAACAGUGUUGGGGCUCAGUUUAAAAACAUCCUUAUCCGUUAUAGUCACGUACAGAUGCAUGUACUGUUGAUAAGGCAUCUGGGAUAUGCUUUAAAAUAAAGCAAAAGAAAAAAAGGAAAAAA